rfam:Ciona savignyi cont_32189, whole genome shotgun sequence.
GUCUCGAUAGCUCAGUCGGGAGAACGUUAGACUGAAGAUCUAAAGGUCCCUGGUUCAAUCCCGGGUCGAGGCA